rnacentral:pre_miRNA from 1 species
ACUCUUCGUCUUAUUUAAAUUUUGUUGUGAUUAAUAUUACUAUUGUUACUAGUGAUAAAAUAUGGAAUAGUACUUUAUGCGUGACUAAUUUUUUUAUGUUUUUAUACAAAAUUUUCAAAUAAGACGAAUGGU